rnacentral:rRNA from 1 species
AUGGAAGCCACCAACUGCUCCAUUGCUCUGGAAACCGCAGACCAUGCCGCCGCACACGGCACAAGCGCGCCCGCUCUGCUCCUCUUGUCUUCGGUGGCCGUGAUCGGCGCGUUUCUGGUCUACUUCUACGCGCCAUUCUGGGCCCUCAGGAGGGUCCCGGGGCCUCCCGCCAGGUUUCCCCUCGGCCAUCUCCAUCUUCUCGCCAACCAUGGACCAGACGUCUUCCGCGCCAUCGCCAAGGAGCACGGCCCCAUCUUCCGGUUUCACAUGGGGAGGCAGCCGCUGGUGAUCGUGGCGAAUGCGGAGCUGUGCAAGGAGGUGGGCAUCAAGAAGUUCAAGGACAUCCGCAACCGGAGCACCCCGCCGCCGACGGUGGGGUCGCUGCACCAGGACGCGCUCUUCCUCACCAGGGACUCCACCUGGUCCUCCAUGAGGAAUACGGUGGUCCCGCUCUACCAGCCGGCCCGGCUCGCCGGCCUCGUCCCGACGAUGCAGCCCUACGUCGACGCGCUGGUGGACAGCGUCGCUGCCUGCCCGGACCAGGACUGCGUCCCCUUCUGCCAGCUCUCGCUGCGCAUGGCCAUCGACAUCAUCGGCAGGACGGCCUUCGGCAUCGACUUCGGCCUCUGCAAGAAGGUCGCCGCGGCGGACGGCGGCGAGGACGUGAGGGGGUUCCUGGAGGAGUACAAGAGGUCCAUGGAGUUCAUCAAGAUGGACCUGUCCAGCUCUCUGUCCACCAUCCUCGGCCUCUUUCUCCCGUGCGUGCAGACGCCGUGCAAGCGCCUCCUGCGGCGGGUGCCCGGCACGGCGGACUACAAGAUGGAGGAGAACGAGCGCCUGCUGUGCCGCCGCAUCGACGCCAUCAUCGCCGGCCGGCGCAGGGACCGCGAGAACAGCGCCUCCCCGCCGGGCGCCGCGCUGGACUUCAUCGCGGCGCUGCUGGACGCGAGGGAGGGCGGCGCCAGGGACCUGGCGCUGGAGGACAGGCACGUGCGCGCGCUGGCGUACGAGCACCUGAUCGCCGGGACCAAGACGACGGCGUUCACGGUGUCGUCGGUAGUGUACCUGGUGUCGUGCCACCCGCGCGUGGAGGGGAAGCUGCUGGCGGAGGUGGACGCGUUCGGCGGCGCGGCCCCCGACGCCGACGACCUCCAGGGCAGGUUCCCGUACCUGGACCUGGUGAUCAAGGAGGCCAUGAGGUUCCACCUGGUGUCGCCGCUGAUCGCCAGGGAGACCUCCGAGGAGGUGGAGAUCGCCGGGUACCGCCUCCCGAGGGGCACGUACGUGUGGCUGGCGCCGGGGGUGCUGGCCCGCGACGCGCGGCAGUUCCCGGAGCCGGAGGAGUUCCGGCCGGAGCGGUUCGCGGCGGAGGGGGAGGAGGAGCGGGCGCGGCACCCUUACGCGCACAUCCCCUUCGGCAUCGGGCCGAGGGCGUGCGUGGGGCACAGGUUCGCGCUGCAGCAGGUGAAGCUCGCCGUGGUGCACCUGUACCGACGGUACGUCUUCCGCCACUCGCCGGCCAUGGAGUCGCCCAUCCAGUUCGACUUCGACCUCGUCCUCGGCUUCCGCCACGGCGUCAAGCUCAGAGCCAUCAGGAGGACGACGAGGGACUCAUCGCCAGGCCCUUCCACGUGA